rnacentral:rRNA from 1 species
UGGGGAAUAUUGCACAAUGGGCGAAAGCCUGAUGCAGCGACGCCGCGUGAGGGAUGACGGCCUUCGGGUUGUAAACCUCUUUCAGCAGGGAAGAAGCGAAAGUGACGGUACCUGCAGAAGAAGCGCCGGCUAACUACGUGCCAGCAGCCGCGGUAAUACGUAGGGCGCAAGCGUUGUCCGGAAUUAUUGGGCGUAAAGAGCUCGUAGGCGGUUAGUCGCGUCUGCUGUGAAAACUCGAGGCUCAACCUCGGGCUUGCAGUGGGUACGGGCUGACUAGAGUGCGGUAGGGGUGACUGGAAUUCCUGGUGUAGCGGUGGAAUGCGCAGAUAUCAGGAGGGACACCGAUGGCGAAGGCAGGUCACUGGGCCGCAACUGACGCUGAGGAGCGAAAGCAUGGGGAGCGAACAGGAUUAGAUAGCCCUGGUAGUCCAUGCCGUAAACGUUGGGCACUAGGUGUGGGGUCCAUUCCACGGAUUCCGUGCCGCAGCAAAGCGCAUUAAGUGCCCCGCCUGGGGAGUACGGCCGCAAGGCUAAAACUUAAAGGAAUUGACGGGGUCAUAGCUGUUUCC